GACGAACGCUGGCGGCGUGCUUAACACAUGCAAGUCGAACGGAAAGGCCCUGCUUGCAGGGUACUCGAGUGGCGAACGGGUGAGUAACACGUGGGUGAUCUGCCCUGCACUUCGGGAUAAGCCUGGGAAACUGGGUCUAAUACCGGAUAGGAGCCAUUUUUAGUGUGAUGGUUGGAAAGUUUUUUCGGUGUAGGAUGAGCUCGCGGCCUAUCAGCUUGUUGGUGGGGUAAUGGCCUACCAAGGCGGCGACGGGUAGCCGGCCUGAGAGGGUGGACGGCCACAUUGGGACUGAGAUACGGCCCAGACUCCUACGGGAGGCAGCAGUGGGGAAUAUUGCACAAUGGGCGCAAGCCUGAUGCAGCGACGCCGCGUGGGGGAUGACGGCCUUCGGGUUGUAAACUCCUUUCGCUAGGGACGAAGCGUUUUGUGACGGUACCUAGAUAAGAAGCACCGGCUAACUACGUG
rnacentral:rRNA from 1 species